GAUGAACGCUGGCGGCGUGCCUAAUACAUGCAAGUCGAGCGAACGGACGAGAAGCUUGCUUCUCUGAUGUUAGCGGCGGACGGGUGAGUAACACGUGGAUAACCUACCUAUAAGACUGGGAUAACUUCGGGAAACCUUAGCUAAUACCGGAUAAUAUUUUGAACCGCAUGGUUCAAAGGUGAAGGACGGUCUUGCUGUCACUUAUGGAUGAAUCCGCGCUGCAUUAGCUAGUUGGUAAGGUAACGGCUUACCAAGGCAACGAUGCAUAGCCGACCUGAGAGGGUGAUCGGCCACACUGGAACUGAGACACGGUCCAGACUCCUACGGGAGGCAGCAGUAGGGAAUCUUCCGCAAUGGGCGAAAGCCUGACGGAGCAACGCCGCGUGAGUGAUGAAGGUCUUCGGAUCGUAAAACUCUGUUAUUAGGGAAGAACAUAUGUGUAAGUAACUGUGCACAUCUUGACGGUACCUAAUCAGAAAGCCACGGCUAACUACGUG
rnacentral:rRNA from 1 species